UACGUAGGUGGCGAGCGUUGUCCGGAAUCAUUGGGCGUAAAGAGCGCGUAGGCGGCCAGAUAAGUCCGGUGUGAAAGUCAAAGGCUCAACCUUUGAAUGCCGCUGGAAACUGUCUGGCUAGAGUCCGGGAGGGGCGAGUGGAAUUCCUGGUGUAGCGGUGAAAUGCGCAGAUAUCAGGAGGAACACCAAUGGCGAAGGCAGCUCGCUGGAACGGUACUGACGCUGAGGCGCGAAAGCGUGGGGAGCGAACAGG
rnacentral:rRNA from 1 species